UUUCCGUAGGUGAACCUGCGGAAGGAUCAUUACAGAGUUCAUGCCCUCACGGGUAGAUCUCCCACCCUUGAAUAUUUAUACCUUAGUUGCUUUGGCAGGCCCGCCUCGAUGAGAGGCCGCCGGAAGCUCACCGCUUUGGGCCCGUGCCCGUCAGUAGCCCCCUUAAAUUCUUAAUAAACCUGUCGUCUGAGUUAAUGGAUAUAAUGAAAAAAAACUUUCAACAACGGAUCUCUUGGUUCUG
rnacentral:misc_RNA from 1 species